GCCUAUUAGUGGGGGACAACAUCUCGAAAGGGAUGCUAAUACCGCAUACGUCCUACGGGAGAAAGCAGGGGAUCUUCGGACCUUGCGCUAAUAGAUGAGCCUAAGUCGGAUUAGCUAGUUGGUGGGGUAAAGGCCUACCAAGGCGACGAUCUGUAGCGGGUCUGAGAGGAUGAUCCGCCACACUGGGACUGAGACACGGCCCAGACUCCUACGGGUGGCAGCAGUGGGGAAUNUUGGACAAUGGGCGCAAGCCUGAUCCAGCCNUGCCGCGUGUGUGAAGAAGGCCUUAUGGUUGUAAAGCACUUUAAGCGAGGAGGAGGCUACUCUAGUUAAUACCUAGAGAUAGUGGACGUUACUCGCAGAAUAAGCACCGGCUAACUCUGUGCCAGCAGCCGCGGUAAUACAGAGGGUGCAAGCGUUAAUCGGAUUUACUGGGCGUAAAGCGCGCGUAGGCGGCUAAUUAAGUCAAAUGUGAAAUCCCCGAGCUUAACUUGGGAAUUGCAUUCNAUACUGGUUAGCUAGAGUGUGGGAGAGGAUGGUAGAAUUCCAGGUGUAGCGGUGAAAUGCGUAGAG
rnacentral:rRNA from 1 species